CUACGGGAUGCUCCAGUGGAGGAUAUUGCACAAUGGGCGAAAGCCUGAUGCAGCAACGCCGCGUGAAGGAAGACGGUUUUCGGAUUGUAAACUUCUAUCAGCAGGGAAGAAAAUGACGGUACCUGACUAAGAAGCCCCGGCUAACUACGUGCCAGCAGCCGCGGUAAUACGUAGGGGGCAAGCGUUAUCCGGAAUUACUGGGUGUAAAGGGUACGUAGGCGGCUGAUCAAGUCAGAUGUGAAAGCCCGGGGCUCAACCCCGGGACUGCAUUUGAAACUGGUCGGCUAGAGUGCAGGAGAGGAAAGUGGAAUUCCUAGUGUAGCGGUGAAAUGCGUAGAUAUUAGGAAGAACACCAGUGGCGAAGGCGGCUUUCUGGACUGUAACUGACGCUGAGGUACGAAAGCGUGGGGAGCGAACAGGAUUAGAUACCCCUGUAGUC
rnacentral:rRNA from 1 species